rnacentral:rRNA from 1 species
AGCGACAGGCUUAACACAUGCAAGUCGAGGGGCAUCGGGGUUGUAGCAAUACAACUGCCGGCGACCGGCGCACGGGUGAGUAACACGUAUGUAACCUGCCCUCUGCAGGGGGAUAAGCGGAAGAAAUUCCGUCUAAUACCGCAUAAUACAAUUUGGAGACAUCUCCGGGUUGUCAAAGGAGUGAUCCGGCAGAGGAUGGACAUGCGGCGCAUUAGCUAGUCGGCGGGGUAACGGCCCACCGAGGCUACGAUGCGUAGGGGUUCUGAGAGGAAGGUCCCCCACACUGGUACUGAGACACGGACCAGACUCCUACGGGAGGCAGCAGUGAGGAAUAUUGGUCAAUGGGCGGAAGCCUGAACCAGCCAAGUCGCGUGAGGGAAGACGGUCCUAUGGAUUGUAAACCUCUUUUGCAGGGGAGCAAGGCGCGGUACGUGUACCGCGAAGGAGAGUACCCUGAGAAAAAGCAUCGGCUAACUCCGUGCCAGCAGCCGCGGUAAUACGGAGGAUGCGAGCGUUAUCCGGAUUUAUUGGGUUUAAAGGGUGCGCAGGCGGACUGUUAAGUCAGCGGUAAAAUGUCGGUGCUCAACACCGGCCGGCCGUUGAAACUGGCAGCCUUGAGUGAGCGAGAAGUAUGCGGAAUGCGUGGUGUAGCGGUGAAAUGCAUAGAUAUCACGCAGAACUCCGAUUGCGAAGGCAGCAUACCGGCGCUCAACUGACGCUCAGGCACGAAAGCGUGGGUAUCGAACAGGCUUAGAUACCCUGGUAGUCCACGCAGUAAACGAUGAAUGCUCACUGUCCGGGCCGUUUAAGGCCUGGGUGGUCAAGCGGAAGCGUUAAGCAUUCCACCUGGGGAGUACGCCGGCAACGGUGAAACUCAAAGGAAUUGACGGGGGCCCGCACAAGCGGAGGAACAUGUGGUUUAAUUCGAUGAUACGCGAGGAACCUUACCCGGGCUCAAACGGAAGGGGACAGUAUGAGAAAUCAUACAUUCCUUCGGGACCGCUUCCGAGGUGCUGCAUGGUUGUCGUCAGCUCGUGCCGUGAGGUGUCGGCUUAAGUGCCAUAACGAGCGCAACCCCUAUCGACAGUUGCUAGCAGGUAAAGCUGAGGACUCUGUCGAGACUGCCGGCGCAAGCUGUGAGGAAGGCGGGGAUGACGUCAAAUCAGCACGGCCCUUACGUCCGGGGCGACACACGUGUUACAAUGGCAGGUACAGCGGGAGGCCACCCGGCGACGGGGCGCAGAACCCGAAAACCUGUCUCAGUUCGGAUUGGAGUCUGCAACCCGACUCCAUGAAGCUGGAUUCGCUAGUAAUCGCGCAUCAGCCACGGCGCGGUGAAUACGUUCCCGGGC